rnacentral:rRNA from 1 species
CACGUAAGUUGCGAGCGUUGUUCGGAAUUAUUGGGCGUAAAGGGCAUGUAGGCGGCCGUGAAAGUCUGGCGUGAAAUCCAUGGGCUCAACCCAUGAACUGCGUUGGAAACUGCACGGCUUGAGUCGCUGAGGGGAAGCCAGAAUUCCGGGUGUAGGGGUGGAAUCUGUAGAUAUCCGGAAGAAUACCAAUGGCGAAGGCAGGCUUCUAGCAGACGACUGACGCUGAGGUGCGAAGGUGCGGGGAGCAAAC